GUAUAUUUUGCGUCAUUUAUUAAAUAUUUUUAUAUAUGCAUUUACAAACUUUAGUCGUUUCAGAACUCUUCUUUCAAUACAUUUUUAAACUUUUUUUUUUUCUGCAGAGUCUCUUGUAAAAUGAGAUCCAUGUACAAAACUAGACAACAGAUACAAAAGUUUCCUUUCAUACUUUCCAUCCACCCAGCAAAGAAAAAUCAUGUGACAAAACGUGACUCUUUCAGAUAACAGGUUGCUCUAAGCCCAUGAUCACAUCACCCUCUACCGCUUCCCUCAUAAACCUAAGGCUCGCUGCUGAUACACAUUGGUGACCAAUUCUUGGCCCAGAAGAUCAUAUUUCUAAUACCCGUAAUGGUGGAGCACUUGGGAACAGAACGGCACCGUAUUUCCCUCAUUUGGGGGUGUGUGGAGAAGGAUUGAAUUUUAUUUCUUUACCUGGUCCUUCAGUUCCGACAGCUGGCCAGAAAGAUUAGUG